AGUGAACGCUGGCGGUAGGCCUAACACAUGCAAGUCGAACGGCAGCACAGGAGAGCUUGCUCUCUGGGUGGCGAGUGGCGGACGGGUGAGGAAUACAUCGGAAUCUACCUUUUCGUGGGGGAUAACGCAGGGAAACUUACGCUAAUACCGCAUACGACCUACGGGUGAAAGUGGGGGACCGCAAGGCCUCACGCGAUUAGAUGAGCCGAUGUCCGAUUAGCUAGUUGGCGGGGUAAUGGCCCACCAAGGCGACGAUCGGUAGCUGGUCUGAGAGGAUGAUCAGCCACACUGGAACUGAGACACGGUCCAGACUCCUACGGGAGGCAGCAGUGGGGAAUAUUGGACAAUGGGCGCAAGCCUGAUCCAGCCAUACCGCGUGGGUGAAGAAGGCCUUCGGGUUGUAAAGCCCUUUUGUUGGGAAAGAAAUCCUAUCGGUUAAUAACCGGUGGGGAUGACGGUACCCAAAGAAUAAGCACCGGCUAACUUCGUGCCAGCCGCCGCCGUAACAC
rnacentral:rRNA from 1 species